GGGGAAUAUUGGACAAUGGGCGCAAGCCUGAUCCAGCCAUGCCGCGUGAGUGAUGAAGGCCUUAGGGUUGUAAAGCUCUUUCGCCGGUGAAGAUAAUGACGGUAACCGGAGAAGAAGCCCCGGCUAACUUCGUGCCAGCAGCCGCGGUAAUACGAAGGGGGCUAGCGUUGCUCGGAAUUACUGGGCGUAAAGCGCACGUAGGCGGUUUCUUAAGUCGGGGGUGAAAUCCUGGAGCUCAACUCCAGAACUGCCUUCGAUACUGGGAAACUUGAGUUCGGGAGAGGUGAGUGGAACUGCGAGUGUAGAGGUGAAAUUCGUAGAUAUUCGCAAGAACACCAGUGGCGAAGGCGGCUCACUGGCCCGAUACUGACGCUGAGGUGCGAAAGCGUGGGGAGCAAACA
rnacentral:rRNA from 1 species